GGAAUUCGAUUAGAGUUUGAUCCUGGCUCAGGAUAAACGCUGGCGGCGUGCCUAACACAUGCAAGUCGGACGCGCUCAGCAAUGAGCGAGUGGCGGACGGGUGAGUAACACGUGGGAACCUACCUUGAGGUGAGGGAUACCGGCGAGAAAUCGUCGACAAGACCGCAUAGGCUCGGCAACGAGCAAAGCUCUUUCGGGAGCGCCACAGGAUGGGCCCGCGGCCGAUUAGUUAGUUGGUGGGGUAACGGCUCACCAAGGCGGCGAUCGGUAGCUGGUCUGAGAGGACGAUCAGCCACACUGGGAUUGAGAACGGCCCAGACUCCUACGGGGGGCAGCAGUGAGGAAUUUUCCGCAAUGGAGGCAACUCUGACGGAGCAACGCCGCGUGCAGGAAGACGGCC
rnacentral:rRNA from 1 species